AUAAGGGCAGGGGCACUUGUUUGAAUACUGGUCAGAACCCGGUGUUGAUGACGACAAGAAGAAAAGCUUCUUUGACAAGGUUUGCCGACUUAAUUCAAGCUAUCCUGCUGGACUGACAUCAUACAUCCAGAAUGCCAAAAGGCUGUUGGCAGAUUCCAAGUCUGGACAAAAUCCAUACGAUGGUUUCACGCCUUCGGUUAUCGUUGGAAAGUCUAAAAGUUGCACAGGAAGAUCUCGGCAAAUACUUUCAGCCCCAAAGUAACAAAGGUGAGGACCUAAACUGGUGGUACUGGCCUACCUUUCCUUCAAGGAAUGCCCAGCGGACCUGAAAGAUGGUAUCGGCAGUUUGAUAAUUACAGCCCCAAUGGUGCUCUGAGCUCUUUGAACUCGGUCAAUGUGGGACCCUUUUGACAGGAAGUAUGGGAAAUAUUUCGUUGCUGCUGCAGUUGACCUAUGCUAAAAUGCUGGUGUUAAUAACCAUGUAAUUGUGUAUUUCAUUUCUUUUUCUGCAAAGUCAUUCGUUGUCACUACUGAAGAGCUGAUUGGGAUACGAGUAAGGCUGAGCAUGAGCUUCUUAAAUCUGCUGAAGAGCUGAUUGUGUGUAAUACUAAAACUGCAAUGCACAUACUUUUAUUUUACAUGGUUAUAUAUAAAGCGGGGCAAAAGCCUUUUUUGGUAUAGUCUUUGAGCUAAUAUGUUUUAACUUCUGAGCAGAAAGUGUGGAAUUUGGCAAGUUAUGAUGUCUGCGCAAUGGAGUUGUUUGCAGCAUUUUGAUGUCAAAUUUCUAUGUAUAUUACACACAGCGUGUUUGUGAUUGCUAAUUCGGUCAUCCUUAAGACCAAAAAAGGCAUCGGAAGGGGUGCCCACCUGGCACCGCCCAUGAGCAUCCCAGGCAGAGAUUCCCAACAAUCUUUUGUUUGUUUACAUUCUCCAUUUAAUGAUAUAUGCAUGCAUAACUAACCAUUUUUGUUUGUUUUAUAAGAAUUUCACAUGAGUAUUCCUACACAUAGAUGAAUAUCCUCCUGAUGCUAAUCAAGGAUUUGAUAUUCCAUCAGCUUUGGUUAACUUGUGCGAGCUAAUUCUAGGAAAAGAUAAUCCGCAAUGGAUCCAAUGUUUGUCUCACAUAUGCUAGAAAAAUUUUCAAGGUAAAUAUAGUAUAUUUACUACCUUGAGUUUUAGAUGAAUUAUUAUGUGAUGCAGGAAGAUAAUGUUAUGAAAUCAUACACAUCAGUGUUGAAUGUUCCCUUGACCCUUAACAGCGCAUCCUCAUGUCACAGGACUCACGGCUCAAGUCGUCAUUGUUGUGCUCCUGCAAUUGUUCGCUAACAGUAUUUAUUUUGCUUAUUCCUUGCGCCACAAGUAUGUUUUGCAAAGUAUUCAUGUACUCCUGCAAUUUAAAUUUCUGGAUUUAGUGAUGGCACUGUGCAAAACAAGUUUUAUUAUUAAUAGAUUUGGGUUCAUAGCAUGGAACCCUUAACACAUAUGACAUUAAUGUUCUCUAUUUAUGGAUCUUGCAUUGGUUUGGUUGAAUAAUUUUGACGACAUAAAUCUUUUUCGAUUAGGACAAUCACUUUUUGUUGUUGGUCUGACCACACCUUCUUCCUUACCCCAUUAUUAUCGCAAUAACAACUGAGGCCAGUCACUGCGAUUUCUCCUUUUGUUGCCACAUAGCUCAUCCAACAUGACCGAGUAAGUUUCUUCGUUGUUUUCUCAAACACCUGUCUGCCAUUAUUUUAGAAGUAAGAGUGUUAAUUAUGCUACCUCCUGUUCUUAUGAGAAAAUAUUAAAAUCCUAAGAAUUAUAUCAUUUAAGGUUUGGCGAAAGACAAAAAUAUAUAAUAGGUAAAUAAAGCCUAGUUCAUCACUGAAAUAAUUUUGAAUAUCAAUGAAGUAAAGCUAUGUUGUAUGCUGCCAAUAACAUUUUAUAAUUCUUUGGUAACAUCACUGAAAACUGAUUUGUCUUCUCUAAUUUAUUACAGUUAGCUUUGUUUCAGAUUGGCUGUUAAUAGAAAACGUUCAUUAUUUGCAUCAGCUAUAAGUUUACAUCAUGCCAAUAACAGUAACAAAAAUAGUAUGAUGCAAAUUCAGGUGAUGAUCAGCCAAGAGGCUGUUGAUGAGAUGAAUGACACCAGAGGGACGCAUAGGCCGCUGCGAAAACAGAGGUGAACAGGAGGAGCAAAGACAACAUCUCUUGCGUUGCUGUAAACAUCCGCUGCUAGCAGAGCUUUAGCCGGUGAACAGGAGGAGCAAAGACGACAACUACUCUGUCAUCUUCCACUGCCUGGCCGAGCUUCAACUUGCCAGCCCCUCAAAUGUAACAAUUGGUUCUAUGCCAGAUUUGUUUUACAAUUUUCUGUUGUUAUUUGUACGAUAUGGUCUUUAAUCUGGUCGGGAAUAACCCACCA